rnacentral:rRNA from 1 species
UACAGAGGUGCCAAGCGUUAGGCAGAAUCACUGGGCUUAAAGCGCGCGUAGGCGGACGUUUAAGUGUCUUGUGAAAUCCCACGGCUCAACCGUGGAACUGCUGGGCAUACUGGACGUCUCGAGGCACUCAGGGGCGAGCGGAACAAGUGGUGGAGCGGUGAAAUGCGUAGAUAUCACUUGGAACGCCAAUGGUGAAGACAGCUCGCUGGGGGUGUCCUGACGCUGAGGCGCGAAAGCCAGGGGAGCGAACGGG